rnacentral:rRNA from 1 species
GCAUAACGCGAAGAACCUUACCAGGUCUUGACAUCCAAAGAAUUCUUACGAAAGUAGGAAGUGCCUUCGGGAGCUUUGAGACAGGUGGUGCAUGGUUGUCGUCAGCUCGUGUCGUGAGAUGUUGGGUUAAGUCCCGCAACGAGCGCAACCCUUGCUAUUAGUUGCUAACAGGUAGAGUUGAGCACUCUAAUGGGACUGCCCGUGACAAGCGGGAGGAAGGUGGGGAUGACGUCAAAUCAUCAUGCCCUUUAUGAUCUGGGCUACACACGUGCUACAAUGGAUGGUACAAAGAGAAGCAAGCCCGCGAGGUGGAGCGAAUCUCAAAAAGCCAUUCUCAGUUCGGAUUGGAGUCUGCAACUCGACUCCAUGAAGUCGGAAUCGCUAGUAAUUGCGAAUCAGCACGUCGCAGUGAAUGCGUUCCCGGGUCUUGUACACACCG